rnacentral:ncRNA from 1 species
AUUUUGUAUGUAGAGUGCCUCUCGAUAGAGGCCACCAGACCGAGCAACUCCAAACAGUAGCCACGGUGGUUAGAAUCGCAAGAUUCCAUACGUAGGAGACAACCUAAAAAAUGGAGGUGCCCA